UGAUUACAUGAUGGGGGCUGGAUCAGAAUAUGGAGGAGGAUAUCUGUGACCAGGGAGUGUAGUGUGGUGAUGGAGGAUGAAGUCAGUCGCCUGCCGUAGCCUGGUGGGCCCGCCUGAGGGCUCUGUCAUAAGCCUCAUUGUUGAAAGGCCCUAAACCAGUGCUGAGAUCCAGUAGGAUCCCAGCAUAGUGUUCUUUAGAGCAGUCAGGUUCUGCUUCAUCCACUUCGUAGUGUUAUCUUUUAUUUUAUUUAGGACCGUGUCGUUUGGAGCAGCUGGCUUGAUGAAUGAAGUCAGGGUUAACAGCUAGUAGAGGAGGCCUACGUGGUGUGGCGUGGCCUGAAGCCAACACUCUGAAGCCAUUAUGGCUCAGGAGGUCCGGAGGAACGAGUCCAGGUGUUCAUUCUCACUCUGUAAGGCCUUGUGCACACCACUCUGGUAGAGGAGGAGGAGUGUAUCUUUCCUGGAGGUUGGUGGUUCUUCUGAGAGCAGAUUGAUACCAGUAUCGAUGAAGGACAGAAAGACAUAAAGGGCAGCCAGAAACUCCUGUAUGAGAUCCUGAAAUGCUCUCUCUAUUUAUCUCUCUCUCUCUCUCUCUCUCUCUCUCUCUCUCUCUCUCUCUCUCUCUCUCUCUCUCUCUCUCUCUCUCUCUCUCUCUCUCUCUCUCUCUCUCUCUCUGUACUUAAUGAAUCCUACAUAUAAAAAGUAAGUACAUAUAAACAAAAUCGGGAAAUAACUAAAGCAACAGCUUUUAAGUGUUGGACUAUAAAGAGAAGAUAUAGCGAUGUAUAUAUGAUAUCUCUCAGAUAGCACUCGUUAU
ensembl:lncRNA